rnacentral:rRNA from 1 species
AGUGAACGCUGGCGGUAGGCCUAACACAUGCAAGUCGAACGGCAGCACAGUAGAGCUUGCUCUUACGGGUGGCGAGUGGCGGACGGGUGAGGAAUACAUCGGAAUCUACUUUUUCGUGGGGGACAACGUAGGGAAACUUACGCUAAUACCGCAUACGACCUACGGGUGAAAGCAGGGGAUCUUCGGACCUUGCGCGAUUGAAUGAGCCGAUGUCGGAUUAGCUAGUUGGCGGGGUAAAGGCCCACCAAGGCGACGAUCCGUAGCUGGUCUGAGAGGAUGAUCAGCCACACUGGAACUGAGACACGGUCCAGACUCCUACGGGAGGCAGCAGUGGGGAAUAUUGGACAAUGGGCGCAAGCCUGAUCCAGCCAUACCGCGUGGGUGAAGAAGGCCUUCGGGUUGUAAAGCCCUUUUGUUGGGAAAGAAAAGCAGCAGGUUAAUACCCCGCUGUUCUGACGGUACCCAAAGAAUAAGCACCGGCUAACUUCGUG